UACUCCGGGGAUAACAGGCUGAUCUCCCCCAAGAGCUCAUAUCGACGGGGAGGUUUGGCACCUCGAUGUCGGUUCGUCACAUCCUGGGGCUGGAGAAGGUCCCAAGGGUUCGGCUGUUCGCCGAUUAAAGUGGCACGUGAACUGGGUUCAGAACGUCGCAAGACAGUUCGGUCCCUAUCUGUGGUGGGCGUCAGUAGAUUGAGAGGACAUGACCUUAGUACGAGAGGACCGGGUCGUACGUACCGCUGGUGUAUCGGUUGUGCCGCCAGGUGCAGUGCCGAGUAGCUAUGUACGGACAGGAUAAACGCUGAAAGCAUCUAAGCGUGAAACCUACCUCAAGAUGAGUCUACUUUUAAGGGCCGUCAAAGACUAUGACGUUGAUAGGCUACAGGUAUAAAGCUGGUAACAGCAAAGCUGAGUAGUACUAAUUGCCCGUACGCUUUAAUUUUUUUUAUUUUA
rnacentral:rRNA from 1 species